AAGUUGUCUACACUAUUUCCCGUUAGCGAAUAUAGUUGGCCGUCUCUGUUUGUCACAGUAAAUUUCAAUGACUCGCUGUUACAUUCUAUUGCAUUGUUCCAUGCGCCACACACGCGCAUCUUUGUGUGACGUCCGUGUAAACCAACGCGCGCCGCCAGCUCCGAGUUUAUUAGUGUGACAGUUGAUCCGUCGUCGAGUAACGCGCUUGUAGUCUCGGUUCCGCUCGGUCCAUGUACUCAUCCUCUCCGAUCGCGACGACUGCUGCCACGAAGUUCUGGAUCUUGACCGCGAACUUGACUAUAUCUUUAUGAUAUUCGUCUGCUAAGUGUCGCGGUGUUUCUGCUCCCGUUCCUGCCUUCCUUCGGUACGCGCAGGAUUUGCCAUGAUGCUUGGCGGCGGAGUUUGAAACAUACCUUUUAUAUCGGCUCAAGAUUUGGCUCGAAGACCACUUUGUGAAGGCCAGGCUCAAUAAAAACACAGCUUUUGGUAAAAUCGGCUUAUUUCUUUGGAUACGUGUGUGGUGACCGUUGCUCGGGUGAAGGAAAAGUCGUUGGUUUUCAAAUUGGUUGUCAACGAGUGACGUUUUGAUUUUAAUGACAUUGACGUUUACCACACACGUUCCGUUUCGCCUUUUAUUUAAACUCAGAUAUACAAUAACAACAUGUGGCAAAUGAAUAAUAUUAAUACGCGUCGUUUACAACGAGUAUGACCCUAUAUGUCGCAACAAAUGUUUCUUUCCACGUGCCACAACUGGUGUCGAAUCAACUGCUGCAUUAUCACUGUCAUUCAAUAAGUAACUAUCACUGACAUACAACAGUUUACUAUCACUGACAUUCAACGGUUUAACAUCACUGACAUUCAACGGUUUAACAUCACUGACAUUCAACGGUUUAACAUCACUGACAUUCAACGGUUUAACAUCACUGACAUUCAACGGUUUAACAUCACUGACAUUCAACGGUUUAACGUCCCUGACAUACAACAGUUUACUAUCACUGAAAUACAACAGUUUACUAUCACUGACAUUCAA
rnacentral:lncRNA from 1 species